GACGAACGCUGGCGGCGUGCCUAAUACAUGCAAGUCGAACGCAGAGGGGAAGGGUGAGUAACAAGUGGGUAACCUCGCAUCAGAGGGGAUAACACUUGGAAACAGGUGCUAAACCGAUACUGAUGGAUGGACCAGCGGUGCAUUAGCUAGGUGGUGAGGUAACUGCUCACCAAGGCCACGAUGAAUAGCCGACCUGAGAGGGGUAGCGGACAUACGUGGACUGAGACACGGCCCAGACUCCUACGGUAGGCAGCAGUAGGGAAUCUUCGGCAAUGGACGAAAGUCUUACCGAGCAACGCCGCGUGAGUGAAGAAGGUUUUCGGAUCGUAAAACUCUGUUGUUAGAGAAGCGGUAUCUAACCAGAAAGCCACGGCUAACUACGUGCCAGCAGCCGCGGUAAUUC
rnacentral:rRNA from 1 species